rnacentral:tRNA from 1 species
GGAAGUGCAUCGGUCCUGGUGGGCCGCGCGGUCUUCAAAACCGUAGCGGGGCGUCGGAAGGCGAUCCCCGGGGGGGUUCGAUUCCCCUGCAUUUCCGCCA